rnacentral:rRNA from 1 species
GUAGGUGGCAAGCGUUGUCAGGAAUUAUUGGGCGUAAAGCGCGCGCAGGCGGUUCUUUAAGUCUGAUGUGAAAGCCCACGGCUCAACCGUGGAGGGUCAUUGGAAACUGGAGAACUUGAGUACAGAAGAGGAAAGCGGAAUUCCACGUGUAGCGGUGAAAUGCGUAGAGAUGUGGAGGAACACCAGUGGCGAAGGCGGCUUUCUGGUCUGUAACUGACGCUGAGGCGCGAAAGCGUGGGGAGCAAACAGGAUUAGAUACCCUGGUAGUCCACGCCGUAAACGAUGAGUGCUAAGUGUUAGGGGGUUUUCCGCCCCCCUUAGUGCUGCAGCUAACGCAUUAAGCACUCCGCCCUGGGAGUACGGCCGCAAGGCUG